GUCCACGCCGUAAACGAUGAGAACUAGCCGUCGGGAACUUUUAUGUUCUUGGUGGCGCAGCUAACGCGAUAAGUUCUCCGCCUGGGGAGUACGGCCGCAAGGUUAAAACUCAAAGGAAUUGACGGGGCCCGCACAAGCGGUGGAGCAUGUGGUUUAAUUCGAUGCAACGCGAAAAACCUUACCUACCCUUGACAUCUAAAGAAUCCUGCAGAGAUGUGGGAGUGCCGCAAGGAGCUUUAAGACAGGUGCUGCAUGGCUGUCGU
rnacentral:rRNA from 1 species